rnacentral:rRNA from 1 species
CACGUAGGGCGCAAGCGUUGUCCGGAAUUAUUGGGCGUAAAGAGCUCGUAGGCGGCUUGUCGCGUCGGAUGUGAAAGCCCGGGGCUUAACUCCGGGUCUGCAUUCGAUACGGGCAGGCUAGAGUGUGGUAGGGGAGAUCGGAAUUCCUGGUGUAGCGGUGAAAUGCGCAGAUAUCAGGAGGAACACCGGUGGCGAAGGCGGAUCUCUGGGCCAUUACUGACGCUGAGGAGCGAAAGCGUGGGGAGCGAACAGG